rnacentral:rRNA from 1 species
GAUCCUGGCUUAGGAUGAACGCUGGCGGCGUGCCUAAUACAUGCAAGUCGAACGAGGUAGCAAUACCGAGUGGCGAACGGGUGAGUAACACGUAGGUAACCUGCCCUUAAGCUUGGGAUACCCAGAGGAAACUUUGGCUAAUACCGGAUAACAACAGAGAAGGCAUCUUCUUUGCUUGAAAGGCCCCUUCAAGGGUCACUUAAGGAUGGACCUGCGGCGCAUUAGCUAGUUGGUGAGAUAACAGCCCACCAAGGCGAGGAUGCGUAGCCGAACUGAGAGGUUGAUCGGCCACAUUGGAACUGAGACACGGUCCAAACUCCUACGGGAGGCAGCAGUAAGGAGUUUUCGGCAAUGGGGGAAACCCUGACCGAGCAACGCCGCGUGAGCGAUGACGGUCCUUUGGAUUUGUAAAGCUCUGUUGUAAGCCAUGAAUGACAGCUUGAGGAAAUGCAAGUUGUUUGACGACAGCUUACCAGAAAGCCACGGCUAACUACGUGCCAGCCGCUGC